AAAUGAUAAUAUUGUGUAUCUGGAAUGAAUUUUAGAUCUUUAUGUCCAUCUCAUGAAAAAUGGGAGCAAAAACAAAAGUGUUGCGUUUAUAUUUUUGUUGAGUGUAUAAAAGCUCAAGCUCAUCCUUCUAGCCUCAGAUGCAAAUAUCACAGGAGUUGUUAACAACGGGAGAACCUCCAUGAAAAAAGAAAAGAGGAGAAAGCCGGUCAGUCGGCACGCGUGAAGCUGGAAUGCGUGUUGUGUGUGGGUGUGUGUUGUGUGGGGGGGUGUGUGCGUGCGUGCACAUGGUGAUCUAGAUCGAGGUCUACGUGUGUGUCUUUCAACAUGACAACCAUCCCAAACACACUGCCGGGUAAAGAAGGAGUGGCUUCAUGAGAAGUAUUUCAUGGUCCUGGAUUGGCCUAGACGUAUCUUGCCCGUCAUAUGGUUUAAUCCGGAAAUGUAGAUUACGCUGUGAUCUUGUGUUGAGAUUUUUCUGUCUUUAACUAAAACUAAACUCCCCCUUCUCUGUUUCUGCAGAAUGUGGUUCUGUCUGGAGGCUCCACCAUGUUUAGGGACUUUGGCCGACGGCUGCGGAGGGACCUCAAGAGGGCCGUGGGCGCCCGCCUAAAGAUCUGCAAAGAGCUGAGUGGUGGCAAAUUGAAGGUAAAAUCCGCCGUACAAGCGAAGUCAAUCUUUCUGGUUCUAGCUCUGUUUCAACGCUUGCUUCCCGUCCGCAGCCGAAGCCCAUCGAUGUGCAGGUCAUCACCCACCACAUGCAGAGGUACGCCGUGUGGUUCGGAGGAUCCAUGCUGGCGUCCACCGAUGAACAACAAUUCAGACUACCCGGUCGUCUUGAUGUCCCUGAAGAGAUACUGGAACGUGCCCCAAUGGUAUGAAGAGAAAAUAGACUCACUCUUAUUUGUGCGUGCGUGAUUCUUGAUUUGUAACUCAUAAUACGUUUUGUGCAAAAGUAAAAAAAAUUACAAAAAUUUAAAAAAUACAAAAAACAAUUUACACAUGCACAAAUUAAAAUGACAACAGCUUGAAACUAAUUACACACAAAAAUCUUUUCAAAAUACGCACAAAUCACCUCUCACACACGCAGCCUAAGUUACGCACGAUUCUACCGUGAGACUCUUUUCACGUCUCACAAAUUCAUCCGUGAGGGAUGCGUUCAAGUACUACCAGAAUGCUCGUUCACCAUAGUUUUCUUGUCAGCCGUUUUAAACUUCAAUUGAGAGUAAUAUAUGGAAAAAUUGGACAUUUUCCCACUUUCUUAAAAUAUAUUCUUGAAAGUGAAUAUAAAAAAGUCUAAAUACAUGUUUUUUAAACACUUGUCCCUUAUCGCUGUCAGAGGAACUUCUGCAGCUCGAAGUCUCUUUUCUGGAAAUACUCUUAUUUUUAAAGGGAUAAGCGUUUUAAAAACACCUAUUUAGACUUUUUUAACCAUCGGGAAUAGGCCCACUCUGGCCUAUAUCAAGCAGCAACUUUGUACAUGAAUUUAACACUAACUGUAUUCGGUGUGUGCGGACAAUUGAUUUUAAUAAUUGCACAAAACAAAUUCUAACUAUUGGUGACUAAUCUGAAUUAUUCUGAUCCAGAUCUGAUCCAUCAAUCCUCCCUGUAAUUAUUUUGGAUUCUUGAAAGGGAUUAAAUAUGAAAAGAACCAAAAAAGUCUUUGAUCUUUGAUAUGAAAGUUCUGUUCAGAUCUUUCAUUAAAAAAAAGUCAUAAAUCAUAUCUGUAGUUGGCAAGAACGCUGGACUUCAAAGACCUUAUUGGUGAUUUUGGAUAUAAGAAGGUUUGACAUUGGUCUAUGGGUGAACAAAGUUGAUCAAGUUCCAUCUUAAAAGGUUGAAAAAAAGAAGCUCGACUUACUCAUUUGCUAUGAGUUCAUAAGUUUAGUUUUAUUUAAAUGAGGAUGAACCAUAUGUGGCCAGUUUGUAUUUUGAUGCUGCUUUUUUUACUGAGGAUUUUUAAUCUCCACUAAUUAUCAGUUUUUUUCAUGAAAAAGUGCAUUUCUUAUUUAAGAAUCAGUUUUUCUGUGAAUAUAUGAAAUAAAUGUACAUUAUAAAUAAAUGUUAUUGUAUUCAGACUGCUCAGUUUUUCCCAUACUGUACAUGUCAGUUGUCAUGUUAUUGAGUCACAAAGAUGAUAAUGAUAGUGAAAAAUACCAUCAUUAUGCAUAAUGUGAUGUACACCUAAAUCUACAGAUUUUGCUGC
rnacentral:lncRNA from 1 species